rnacentral:rRNA from 1 species
AUUAUUUUAAGAUGUUAAUUUUUGUACCUGAGUAGUAUUAGUUAUGUUCUUGAAACUUAAAGAAUUUGGCGGUAUCUCAUUCCGUCUAGAGGAAUCUGUCCCGUUAUCGAUAGUCCGCGUUGGACCUUACUUACUUGAUUUUGGUUUGUAUACCGCCGUUUAUUGAUUAUCUUUUUAGGGUUUAUUUAAUUUUCUGGUUUCUUUAUUUUGAUAUAUUUCAGGUCAAGGUGCAGCUUGUUUUUAAGUGGAAUGAUGGAUUACAUUGUUAUUUGUUUAUGGAUUGUCAAUUUUAAUAUUGAUAUGAAAUUGGAUUUAGUUGUAAUAAUUUGUAGAUUGUUAUUAUGAUAGCUGGUUCUGAGAUAUGUACACAUCGCCCGUCGCUCUCGUUUGUUA